AGUCGAACGGUAACAGGCCGCAAGGUGCUGACGAGUGGCGAACGGGUGAGUAAUGCAUCGGAACGUGCCCAGUCGUGGGGGAUAACGCAGCGAAAGCUGUGCUAAUACCGCAUACGAUCUAUGGAUGAAAGCGGGGGACCGUAAGGCCUCGCGCGAUUGGAGCGGCCGAUGUCAGAUUAGGUAGUUGGUGGGGUAAAGGCCUACCAAGCCAACGAUCUGUAGCUGGUCUGAGAGGACGACCAGCCACACUGGGACUGAGACACGGCCCAGACUCCUACGGGAGGCAGCAGUGGGGAAUUUUGGACAAUGGGCGCAAGCCUGAUCCAGCAAUGCCGCGUGCAGGAAGAAGGCCUUCGGGUUGUAAACUGCUUUUGUACGGAACGAAACGGUCUGGGUUAAU
rnacentral:rRNA from 1 species